rnacentral:rRNA from 1 species
CACGUAGUUAGCCGGGGCUUCUUAGUCAGGUACCGUCAUUUUCUUCCCUGCUGAUAGAAGUUUACAUACCGAGAUACUUCUUCCUUCACGCGGCGUCGCUGCAUCAGGGUUUCCCCCAUUGUGCAAUAUUCCCCACUGCUGCCUCCCGUAGGAGUCUGGGCCGUGUCUCAGUCCCAAUGUGGCCGUUCACCCUCUCAGGCCGGCUACUGAUCGUCGGCUUGGUAGGCCGUUACCCCACCAACUACCUAAUCAGACGCGGGUCCAUCUCAUACCACCUCAGUUUUUCACACCAGACCAUGCGAUCCUGUGCGCUUAUGCGGCAUUAGCAGCCAUUUCUAACUGUUAUUCCCCUGUAUGAGGCAGGUUACCCACGCGUUACUCACCCGUCCGCCGCUCAGUCAAAUAUCAAAUCUUCCGAAGAGUCAAUGAUAAGUGCUUCGCUCGACUUGCAUGUGUUAAGCACGCCGCCAGCGUUCAUCCUGAGCCAGGA